GGCGGAUGUAGCCAAGGGGAUCAA
rnacentral:tRNA from 2 species